GGGGGGUGUCCUAUCUAAACGUACGGCCCGAAAUUCUUCCAUACGCUUGUCCCUGACUCUCCACACUCGAAUGGCAAUCAUGCAGAUUAUGCCAGCAGGAACUCAGGAUGUUCUGUUCUCUUGCAUCAGGCAAGGUCCCGCAGAACCAUACAUGUGGUUCAUCAAUAAACUCACGCAAGCCGUGGAUCGACAGGUGACGAUUGAAGAAGCGAAGAGGCCUCUCUUGGAGAGCUUGGCUUUCGGCAAUGCCAACCCAGAUUGUCAAUGGGUCAUCAGUGCCAUGCCAGGAUGGCCAUCCUUGGCAGAGAUGGUGGAGGCAUGCAGCAAAGUGGGGACACGUCAGCAUGUUGCAUCAAUUGUGAAGAACGAGUUAAGAGAAGAAUGGGAAGAACAGAUAAAGGGACACUCAGAGAGACAAUCGAAAGACAAGGCAUUGGAAAAGAUGCUGGAAAAAAUACUUCAUCAACAGAACGAGAACACAAACAAAGUUCUUGCAACAAUGCAGAAGAAGAGCAAUCCCUCAGGAGGAGAGUGUUACAAAUGUGGGGCGUUGGGACACAUGAGAAAGAAUUGUCCACAGACACAUACACCAGCGCCAGUGCAAAAAGCAGAAAGGCCAAUUUGUGCGCGGUGCGGAAGAGGAAGACACUCUGUGAAAGAAAUGCUAUUCUCAGACAGACGUGGAAGGAAAUCCUUUACCAUAUCUGGGAAACGGAAGAAGGAGCACGGGAAAUCGCCAGCACGCUCAGACACAAGUGAUGGCGGUGAUACAAGAGCAGACAGGACAAUCAUCAGUGAGCGACAAGCAGCCGCCCUCAGCAAAACCCUCAGUCAAUUCCAUAGCGACCCAGACCUCCUCCCACAAGGGGCACAGUGUGCAUUGGCAGCUUCUAAAUUAGUAUGCUUCCUAGAUGAAAAUCAUGCAGAGAUACCAACGGGUUUCCGCGGAGAAUCAUGCAAAAAGCAAGAUUUCUUGAUAGCUGGACAAGACAAAUGCAGCAUCCUUG
rnacentral:lncRNA from 1 species